rnacentral:rRNA from 1 species
UGAAAUUCGCCUUCAUGAAGCUGGAAUUGCUAGUAAUGGCAGGUCAGCAUACUGCCGUGAAUACGUUCCCGGGCCUUGUACACACCGCCCGUCACACCAUGAGAGUUGGGAAUACCCGAAGCCUGUGAGCUAACUUAUAGAGGCAGCAGUCGAAGGUAGAAUCAAUGAUUGGGGUGAAGUCGUAACAAGGUAAC